GUGCCAGCCGCCGCGGUAAUACCGGCAGCCCGAGUGAUGGCCGAUCUUAUUGGGCCUAAAGCGUCCGUAGCUGACUGAGCAAGUCCGUCGGGAAAUCCACUCGCCCAACGAGUGGCCGUCCGGUGGAAACUCCACACCUUGGGACCGGAAGGCUCGAAGGGUACGGCCGGGGUAGGAGUGAAAUCCUGUAAUCCCGUCCGGACCACCGAUGGCGGAAGCACUUCGAGAAAACGGAUCCGACAGUGAGGGACGAAAGCUAGGGUCGCGAACCGGAUUAGAUACCCGUGUAGUCC
rnacentral:rRNA from 1 species